UGGGGAAUUUUGGGCAAUGGGCGAAAGCCUGACCCAGCAACGCCGCGUGAAGGACGAAAUCCCUUCGGGAUGUAAACUUCAAAAGUUGGGGAAGAAAUGCUGGAGGCGAAUACCCUCCGGAGAUGACGGUACCCAACGUAAGCCCCGGCUAACUACGUGCCAGCAGCCGCGGUAAUACGUAGGGGGCAAGCGUUGUUCGGAAUUACUGGGCGUAAAGGGCGCGUAGGCGGCACGGCAAGUCAGGAGUGAAAGCCCUGGGCUCAACCCGGGAACUGCUUUUGAAACUGCCGAGCUAGAGUGCGGAAGGGGCAACUGGAAUUCCCAGUGUAGCGGUGAAAUGCGUAGAUAUUGGGAAGAACACCUGAGGCGAAGGCGGGUUGCUGGGCCGACACUGACGCUGAGGCGCGAAAGCCAGGGGAGCGAACGG
rnacentral:rRNA from 1 species